rnacentral:rRNA from 1 species
UACGUAGGGUGCAAGCGUUGUCCGGAAUUAUUGGGCGUAAAGAGCUCGUAGGUGGCGGGUCACGUCGGGUGUGAAAGCCCGGGGCUUAACCCCGGGUCUGCAUUCGAUACGGGCUUGCUAGGGUCCGGCAGGGGAGACUGGAAUUCCUGGUGUAGCGGUGGAAUGCGCAGAUAUCAGGAGGAACACCAAUAGCGAAGGCAGCUCGCUGGGACGUUACUGACACUGAGGCGCGAAAGCGUGGGGAGCGAACAGG